CCACCCCACACUCACAAACACUUCCUUCCGCCAGUCGAGAAAGACUCCCUCCCCCAGAAACACCUUUUGCUUUCUCUCCACCGAAAAAUAAAAUUGGAUUUUCAAGAUCCGAUGACUCGAUUCAAACAUCAGUAACUCUAAAAAUUCUUCAUCAGAUCAGCAUCAUCCAAUCUCUUUCCACACAUACACACCAGAUCUCAGGUCCACAGGUUUACCGCAUUGAAGUUUCACUGGUCGAAGAAACAGAAAAUUUUGUUUAGGAUUUAUCUUCUAGUUGAAUCAUUUGGCUGUCGAUUGAAUGGCUGACAGUUCCUGCAUCAAGCGCCUUCAGAAGGAAUACAGAGCACUUUGUAAAGAACCAGUUUCCCACAUCGUUGCCCGUCCUUCACCAAGUGACAUUCUUGAGUGGCGUGAGUUAUUUUUGUCUUUGCCAAGUUUCUUGUCUUAACAUUAUAUAGAUUGGUUCACCAAGGAUUUUGUUAGCUGUAUUGUUUACUAUGAAUGGCUUUCUCAAUAUUUGCCCUCCUUUUUAUUACAUCGAAUA